AAGUGCAGCAAGAUGGCUAAUCUAAAAGGGAACAAUGGGAAAUUCAACCGCAUACCGGUAUGUUUGAGCCACAGUCAGACUGAAACCCACUUGAAACUGAGACGGGAACCCACACCGGCGACUGGCACACGGAUUAUAGUGAGGUAAGUUAGCCUGUAACCGGUUUAGCCAGGCUGCGUUUGUGGUUGUGAACACCCCCUCCCUUAAAAACAGGUGUGAUAUCAACGUGUUUUUUUGGUAGCCUUAUAUCUCCCCCUCCAAUGGACAAAUGUGCAUUCACAGGUGGGACAGGAUUACAGAGGAUUGACUCCAGGUGGUUCUGGGCCAAUCAGAAAGAGCUUUUGCACCCAGUUUGACAGCAUGCAGCACCUGAUACAUGCUCUGCAGGAGAUCGUGAUGAGAGGUCUGUCAGUACAUCCCACCUGUUAACGCACCAAUCGAGGAGCGAUGUCUCAUGUCAGAGCACACUUUCCAUGAGCUGACCUGGGGCACUGAACCAGGAGAUUUGGAGUCAAGCUUUUCACAGCAGGGAAAAAAAUCCUGAAAAUUGUGACAUCCUGAGUCAAAUUAUGUUGGAUUACAGAUUAACUUGUAGGUGCAUAUAGAUAAAAAAUAAAGACACUAAUGCUAUUCCUCUAUAGAUUCUGUACGUGCGCAUGUGUGUGAGGUACAGUUGUGUAAACUGGUCGCCCACUUUCAGCAACAAAACAGUGAAAUGACAGAUUUAGGUUUCAACUCUGGAGCUUGAAUGAACUGAAUGCAGUGCAGAAAAAUCCGACUUAAAAAAAACAACAACCAAACAAACAGGAUUAGCAGCAGCCAGAGUUAAUCCCAUUUUAUUGCAGAUACCUCUGUGUGUGUGAUCCCUGUGUGUGAAUAUGUGAGUUCUUGCAGAGAGGCAUGUGUGUUUUCGUGCGGUUUCAUGUGUGUUUUUGCACAUGUGAUUGUCAAUGCUGCAUCUAUGAUGCAUGGAGCUAUGGUUUGUAGGUGUUGUGUUGA